AGCAGCAGCCACGGGAAUACGGAGGGUGCAAGCGUUAAUCGGAAUUACUGGGCGUAAAGCGCACGCAGGCGGUCUGACAAGUCAGAUGUGAAAUCCCCGGGCUUAACCUGGGAACUGCAUUUGAAACUGUCAGGCUGGAGUCUUGUAGAGGGGGGUGGAAUUCCAGGUGUAGCGGUGAAAUGCGUAGAGAUCUGGAGGAAUACCGGUGGCGAAGGCGGCCCCCUGGACAAAGACUGACGCUCAGGUGCGAAAGCGUGGGGAGCAAACAGGAUUAGAUACCCCUGUAGUCCCUGUCUCUUAUAC
rnacentral:rRNA from 1 species